AUUGAACGCUGGCGGCAUGCCUUACACAUGCAAGUCGAACGGUAACGCGGGGCAACCUGGCGACGAGUGGCGAACGGGUGAGUAAUGCAUCGGAACGUGCCCAGUAGUGGGGGAUAGCCCGGCGAAAGCCGGAUUAAUACCGCAUACGACCUACGGGUGAAAGCGGGGGAUCGCAAGACCUCGCGCUAUUGGAGCGGCCGAUGUCGGAUUAGCUAGUUGGUGGGGUAAAGGCCUACCAAGGCUACGAUCCGUAGCUGGUCUGAGAGGACGACCAGCCACACUGGGACUGAGACACGGCCCCAGACUCCUACGGGAGGCAGCAGUGGGGAAUUUUGGGACAAUGGGCGCAAGCCUGAUCCAGCCAUGCCGCGUGCGGGAAGAAGGCCUCGGGUUGUAAACCGCUUUUGUCAGGGAAAGAAACGGUCUGAGUUAAUACCUCGGACUAAUGACGGUACCUGAAGAAUAAGCACCGGCUAACUACGUGCCAGCAGCCGCGGUAAUACGUAGGGGUGCAAGCGUUAAUCGGAAUUACUGGGCGUAAAGCGUGCGCAGGCGGCUUUCGCAA
rnacentral:rRNA from 1 species